GCGCUUGUAGCUCAGCUGGAUAGAGCAACUGCCUUCUAAGCAGUGGGUCGGGGGUUCGAGUCCCUCCAAGCGCGCCA
rnacentral:tRNA from 1 species